UACGUAGGGUGCGAGCGUUAAUCGGAAUUACUGGGCGUAAAGUGUGCGCAGGCGGCGUCGCAAGUCGGGUGUGAAAGCCCUCAGCUCAACUGAGGAAGUGCGCCCGAAACUGCAGAGCUUGAGUACCGGAGAGGAUGGCGGAAUUCCCCAAGUAGAGGUGAAAUUCGUAGAUAUGGGGAGGAACACCGGUGGCGAAGGCGGCCAUCUGGACGGAUACUGACGCUGAGACGCGAAAGCGUGGGGAGCAAACAGG
rnacentral:rRNA from 1 species